CGUCGGCCAAUGUCUUAAAUAAGUAGGUACUGCGGAGUAAUGAGUAAAAUUCGGUUGAUAAACCUUAUUAAAAUAUUUAAGGCUCUCGGCUGUGGAGUGUACAGAUAAACUCUACUUAACCAGUAAUUGGCAAGUUGACAAGACUCAAAAUGACAGCAAAGUAGUGCGAUACAUAUACAAGACACUAAGACAGAUGUUACGGUAUCGCGGUGAUGUCGGAGAAACGAUAACAAGGUGAUUGGCCAAACGAUUUUAUGUGGAAUAGAGAAAGACGAGCUCAAGGUUUUUAAUUCCUACUACUUUAAUAUAUUGUUAACAGAGUCGAGUAUAAUUAUACCAGCUCUCGAUUAGCAGCUAUUGAAGUGAAAAAUGGCUUAAACAUUUAACAGGUUAAAGAACGACAGGAGUUCAAAAAGCGUACUAAAUUUCAGUUCUCUGGUAUCAAUAAAUAAGUUAUAUUUGAAAUCAUCCCAUCAUCGUAUGGAUGAGUAUAAUAUAUAUAUAUAUAUAUAUAUAUAUAUAUAUACGAACACGCAUUUAAUAUACACGGGUACAAUACAACUAAAUUAGACAAUAUUGUUGUUAACGCAGUUUGGAUUGAUGAAGUCAACCUGUCAAAAGACAAGGCAAUAUAGAAACGCGUUCUAGAAACAAUAGAUUUAAUAUUAUAUAUUAUAAAUAAUAUAAUAUAAUAUACACACACAGUACGUUUUAAAAAAUAAAAAUACGAUUCGCACUGUUUAAAAUCUCGUAUAUUAUAAUACGAAAUGUACACUAUACGACGCAGCAUCAGUGCCAGCGUGUGUACCACCACGAUAUUAGCGGUAAUGAAUAAAUAAUGGAGAUUGUUAUUUGGAGGUAUUAGUCAAUUGGUAUAUUCUAUAAUAGUAUUAUACAGUAUAUAGAGAGGCAGUAGCGUGCGCUUGUGGACACACACAACUCGUUUCGAUACGGUCGCUCGGCUAAUUUUAAACGGAUGUACAAACACAGUGCAUACCGUUCGCCGCCGCUGCCAUCCCGCCACUACCGUCUGCCACUGUUCUAAACUGUACACGGGUACACAUACACAUACGAGACAAACACGCAAUAUGAACCCGUUGUUGUAAGCGUGGAAAAUAUGAAAUUAACCACUAUAUUAUAAUACACCUCCGCUGCCGUUUCAUUUCGGAAAUUAAAAGUUGCAGGUUAAAUUAACAUUAGCAACAAAAUUCACGAAAAGUUUAUUUUUUAGGCGGGUAUACGCCAUACAGGCGACGAUAUUUUGGGGUCAAACAAAAUAACACAAUAUUCUGCUGAGUCUAAUAUUUUCGGAAAUGUCGUAAUAACGUUUAAUAAAAACUUUUAAUCGAUGGAUAUAAUAAU